rnacentral:rRNA from 1 species
GGGUACGGGCAGACUAGAGUGAUGUAGGGGAGACUGGAAUUCCUGGUGUAGCGGUGAAAUGCGCAGAUAUCAGGAGGAACACCGAUGGCGAAGGCAGGUCUCUGGGCAUUAACUGACGCUGAGGAGCGAAAGCAUGGGGAGCGAACAGGAUUAGAUACCCUGGUAGUCCAUGCCGUAAACGUUGGGCACUAGGUGUGGGGGACAUUCCACGUUUUCCGCGCCGUAGCUAACGCAUUAAGUGCCCCGCCUGGGGAGUACGGCCGCAAGGCUAAAACUCAAAGGAAUUGACGGGGGCCCGCACAAGCGGCGGAGCAUGCGGAUUAAUUCGAUGCAACGCGAAGAACCUUACCAAGGCUUGACAUGAACCGGAAAGACCUGGAAACAGGUGCCCCGCUUGCGGCCGGUUUACAGGUGGUGCAUGGUUGUCGUCAGCUCGUGUCGUGAGAUGUUGGGUUAAGUCCCGCAACGAGCGCAACCCUCGUUCUAUGUUGCCAGCACGUGAUGGUGGGGACUCAUAGGAGACUGCCGGGGUCAACUCGGAGGAAGGUGGGGACGACGUCAAAUCAUCAUGCCCCUUAUGUCUUGGGCUUCACGCAUGCUACAAUGGCCGGUACAAAGGGUUGCGAUACUGUGAGGUGGAGCUAAUCCCAAAAAGCCGGUCUCAGUUCGGAUUGGGGUCUGCAACUCGACCCCAUGAAGUCGGAGUCGCUAGUAAUCGCAGAUCAGCAACGCUGCGGUG